UUCCAAGGUAACCUGCAUAAAAUAUACUUACAUGCAAGAGAGAGAAGAUCAAAAUGUAUGGAGUAAAAUGGAGGCACUCAGACUAACCGAAAGAAUCAUUUUACACACACGCUCUACUUCAAGAAGUACCAUACAAACACUCCUGAUCUUUCAUCACCAAAAUGAUGAUUUGAUUGACAAAAGUCUUCAUGGCCUGAUUCUACCCACCAAGUUCAUUUUUCUAAUCUUUAUAAAUAAUCAUCCACCUGACAGAGAAGAAACUAGAAUUCAUCAUUUGAAGGCACGAGGCAGAAUUUCCGUUCAAUCAGAAGCUAGGCAUUAGUCAAUGGGGAACAAUGAAUCAAUUUACAGACUAACUUUGGGGGACUCAUUUCUCAAGUGCCUUAGUGUACAAAUACCAACAAAC
rnacentral:lncRNA from 1 species